rnacentral:tRNA from 1 species
GGACGGGUUCCCGAGUGGCCAAAGGGGGCAGACUGUAAAUCUGCUGGCAUUUGCCUUCGGAGGUUCGAAUCCUUCCCCGUCCA